UGGGGAAUUUUGGACAAUGGGCGAAAGCCUGAUCCAGCAAUGCCGCGUGUGUGAAGAAGGCCUUCGGGUUGUAAAGCACUUUUGUCCGGAAAGAAAUCCUUGGCUCUAAUACAGUCGGGGGAUGACGGUACCGGAAGAAUAAGCACCGGCUAACUACGUGCCAGCAGCCGCGGUAAUACGUAGGGUGCAAGCGUUAAUCGGAAUUACUGGGCGUAAAGCGUGCGCAGGCGGUUUGCUAAGACCGAUGUGAAAUCCCCGGGCUCAACCUGGGAACUGCAUUGGUGACUGGCAGGCUAGAGUAUGGCAGAGGGGGGUAGAAUUCCACGUGUAGCAGUGAAAUGCGUAGAGAUGUGGAGGAAUACCGAUGGCGAAGGCAGCCCCCUGGGCCAAUACUGACGCUCAUGCACGAAAGCGUGGGGAGCAAACAGGAUUAGAUACCCCUGGUAGUCCACGCCCUAAACGAUGUCAACUAGUUGUUGGGGAUUCAUUUCCUUAGUAACGUAGCUAACGCGUGAAGUUGACCGCCUGGGGAGUACGGUCGCAAGAUUAAAACUCAAUGAAUUGACGGGGUCAUAGCUGUUU
rnacentral:rRNA from 1 species